rnacentral:rRNA from 1 species
GAUGAACGCUGGCGGCGUGCCUAAUACAUGCAAGUCGAACGCUGGAGAUCUAGCUUGCUAGAUCGAAGGAGUGGCGAACGGGUGAGUAAUACAUAAGCAACCUACCCACGAAGACUGGGAUAAUCUCUGGAAACGGGGAUUAAUACCGGAUAGGUAAUCGGAAGGCAUCUUCUGGUUAUUAAAGGUUAAAAACACUGGUGGAUGGGCUUAUGGCGCAUUAGUUAGUUGGUGAGGUAACGGCCCACCAAGACGAUGAUGCGUAGCCGGCCUGAGAGGGUGAACGGCCACAUUGGGACUGAGACACGGCCCAGACUCCUACGGGAGGCAGCAGUAGGGAAUUUUCAGCAAUGGGGGCAACCCUGACCGAGCAACGCCGCGUGAGUGAAGACGGCCUUCGGGUUGUAAAGCUCUGUUGUAAGGGAAGAACGGUAGAUAGAGAAUAUCUAAGUGACGGUACCUUACCAGAAAGCCACGGCUAACUACGUG